GUAGCGUAGCGUAGUGGUGCAGCGUGUGCUUGUGAAUCAGCUGCUCGUGGGUUCGAGUCCCGCGCGUGCCA
rnacentral:tRNA from 1 species